rnacentral:misc_RNA from 1 species
GGCUAACGUAUAAUUCUAUCCAAAUUCCUUCCGGGAAGUAAACCCCCCUUGCUUGUCCUCGCCGGUGACCAACCGAGAGCCAUGUUUCUGGGCAGAACCCAAGAGUCCGCUCUCACCGUUCUACACAAUUUUAAUAAUUCCCUCGUAAACCCUAAUCCCCACAUAACCCUCACUCUCCCCAUGCGUACUUCCCUUUUCUCAUCUCUCUCCUUCCUCCGCUCUUUCACUAUUUCCCUCUCUUGCCACCACCUCCAUCUCUUAACCCGGCAACCCCUCUUCCUUCUCCGUUUUCCCACAUCCUCUCUUACCCAUCACAAUCGUCUCCCAUUUCGGAGUCUAAAGUGUUUCAAUAGUUCCACUGAACAGUUGGCGUGCGAAUCCCAUUCUCCUUCCGCAUAUGAAGAGAAAUGGGACUUCUCAAGCCACAUCGACAACGAAACUGACGUUUUUAAAUUCGACGAUGAUCCGGGUUAUUCGGGCGCUGGUGGAGAUAAGAAGCACAUGGAUUCACCGGCGCUUGAGGUCAGGGAGUUGGAGGAGUUGCCGGAGCAAUGGAGGCGAGCGAGAUUGGCCUGGCUGUGUAAACAAUUGCCGGCGCACAAGGCGGGAACUUUGGUGAGGAUACUUAACGCCCAGAAAAAGUGGAUGAGGCAGGAGGAUGCUACCUAUGUUGCGGUUCAUUGUAUGCGCAUUCGCGAACACGAGGCUGGGUUUAGGGUACUUCUUUAAGAUUGACACUUCAGUUUUGAUUCUGUUACAGCAUUGCUAAUUUAAUCAUGUUAAUUUUAUUUGCAAGACAUGUAUAUGAGCAAUUAAUAAAUUGGUAGUUUACUGGUGGAGCAGUGCUAGUUUAGGUUACUUGCAUUUGGAAAUUGGGAUACAGGUUUGUGAAUGAAGUUGUUUUUCAAAAUGAUAUGCAACUUUUUGGAAGUUCAAAGCCAAAAUGAAUAUAUUGAUUUUCCUUUGACUAUAAAGCUGAAAUUUCUUUUGGCUAGCUAGAGUUCAUAAUAAAUAUUUGGAAUGAAGUAAGACUAGAUGCAUUUUUUUGUUGAGAAAUUUUUUUGGUUGUUUGUUAGGUGUACAAAUGGAUGAUUCAGCAACACUGGUAUCAAUUUGAUUUUGCUCUGGCUACAAAGCUAGCAGAUUACAUGGGCAAGGAAGGAAAGUUUGCAAAAUGCAGGGAGAUAUUUGACAGUAUCAUCAAUCAGGGACUUGUGCCUAGCGAGUCCACAUUUCACAUUUUGGUUAUUGCAUAUCUUAGUGCACCAGUACAAGGCUGCUUGGAAGAAGCAUGUAGCAUUUACAAUCGCAUGAUUCAGUUGGGUGGUUACCAGCCGCGACUCAGUUUGCACAAUUCUCUCUUUAGAGCUCUUAUAAGCAAACCAGGAGGACAUUCAAAACAUUAUCUCAAGCAGGCUGAGUUUAUUUUUCAUAAUUUGGUGACAUCUGGACUUGAGAUACAGAAGAAUGUUUAUGGUGGCCUAAUUUGGCUACAUAGCUAUCAAGACAACAUAGAUAAAGGAAGGAUUGCAUCACUAAGGGAAGAGAUGAAGCAAGCAGGAAUAGAAGAGGACAAGGAACUGCUUUUAUCUGUUCUGAGAGCUUGCUCAAGGGAGGGUGAUGUGGAGGAAGCAGAAAGAGCUUGGCUCAAACUCCUCAGGAUUGAUGGUGGUCUCCCCACACAAGCUUUUGUGUACAGGAUGGAAGUCUUUGCUAAGGUUGGAGAAUAUUUGAAAUCUUUGGAGAUAUUCAGGGAAAUGCAGGAGAGUUUGGGCUCUGCUAGUGUUGCAGCGUAUCAUAAAAUCAUGGAAGUGUUAUGUCAAGCUCAGGAAAUGGAAUUAGCAGAAUUGCUUAUGCAGGAGUUCAUUAAGUGUGGUAUGAAGCCCCUUAUGCCAGCUUUUAUUGAUCUGAUGAAUAUGUACCUUAAUUUAAAUUUGCAUGAUAAACUGAAGUCAGCUUUCUCUGCAUACCUCGAGACCUGUCGACCAAACCGGACUAUUUACAACAUAUACCUGGAUU